ACCUCAAAAUAACCCCCCCACCCACUCAUCUCGCACAACAAUACCCCAAUCCCAACCCCAACAAAACUUCCAAGACUGAACUUCCGGGGACUCGGCGGCGCCCACCUCGCUUGGCUCAUUGUAGUGUACAAUUCUCAUUUGACAAUUUCAAACGAAAAGUAAAAUCAAAUAUGAGAGUUGUUGUCGGUAGUUGUAUCUCGCUCUCCCCAAUCGCCGCCCUUCGCAAGCCUGCUUACCGCCAUAGCUUUCGACCUUCCAAAACCCUAGUUCCGUCUUCCCUUUCAUCGGCUCCUCUUCCUCGUUCAACAUUCUCCCGAUUCUCGACCACCGCUUCUAUUUUGGCACCGGAAUCGAUGUCUCCGGAGCCCAAACAGCCUCGGAAGCCGUGGCUCAUCGUCGGUCUUGGAAACCCCGGCAAGAAGUACAACGGAACUCGCCAUAAUGUUGGUUUUGAAUUGGUAGAUGCUGUUGCUGAAGCUGAAGGGAUAUGUGUUACCAGUGUUUCUUUCAAAGCCCUUCUUGGCAAAGGUUAUAUUGAAGAUGUUCCAGUUAUGAUUGCCAAACCGCAAACUUUCAUGAAUGCAAGCGGUGAGUCUGUUGGAGCCAUAGCCUCAUAUUACAAGAUUCCACUGAAGCAAGUACUUGUGAUCUAUGAUGAUCUAGAUUUGCCUUUUGCCAAAAUGAAAUUGUUGCCAAAGGGUGGACAUGGAGGGCACAAUGGGAUGAGGAGUAUCAUUGAUCAUUUUCAAGGGAGUCGCGACUUUCCUCGUUUGAGAAUUGGUAUUGGGCGACCUCCUGGGAAAAUGGAUGCAGUCAACUUUGUUCUUCGACCGUUCAAUAAACAAGAACGUGAAGAGGUUUGUUAAGUCUAAUUUUGGUUGGCAUAAUUGAUAGGUACAAAGUCAUGGCUGGAGAAUUUUUUUAUUGAAAUUGGGUUACAAGUUCCAAGUGCUCGAGACCUUGGAUAUCUUUACCGAGAAACUUUUUUCUAACAAGAUUACAAUCAUUUUCGUACUCCUACUCAUCAUCGAUACCCCAAAUAUAAACAACUCUCCCCAUUUACCACACCAAGUAGGCUUACACAAAACAUUCAUUAAGAAUUACUUAGCUGACUAGGAAAACUAAUAGAACACCAAAGUUGCUAUGUCCUCAAACUCAGCAGUGACAUCCUUCAUAAAUCUGCUAUCGUUGGUGUCUCGUCUAUCAUCGUGUUGACUUGGUCUGGUUCUACUAAAACUCUCGAACCUUCACUUAUAAUAGUCUUCAGCAUGGUUUUAAGAGAAACUAAUGUCUUGCCAAGAGAAGGGUCUCUCCUUGCAGUGUCAACAGUCUCAUUCCCAGCUGAAACUUCACUGUCUAAAGUUUUCAAUUUGUAUGUGCCAUUCCGAGAGUGGCCAACCACUAAAUUCCCAAUAUCAAGUUCGUACUUCCAAGGUUUAAAGGCCCUUGAAGUUGAGGUGCUCUUCCCUUGCAAAUGCCCUCUCUCAUCCCCAAGUCUCCUGACCCAAUAAUCACACCAUAAGCACCAGUAUUGGUCGCUGUUAAUCCCAUAUUUUGGAUCACUUCCUUUGAUAAGAAAUUAUAGGUUGCGCCUGGGUCUAUUAAAAUGACCACUGGUUCAUUUAUCGUGCCUUUUAUCAUCUCUUGGGUGUUGUGAGGCCUGUUCCACUGCUUCACUGAUUUCAGAUACGUCCAGAAUGGGAUCUUGAUUAAUUUCUGGGUCUAAUUCCUCAUUCUCAGCCCCCUCAAUAUCAGGCACAAUUACAACACUCAGCUCCGUAUUCUUACUUAUAGACUUGUCCUCUAUGCCGUGUACGGCUCUGAUACCAGAUACCAUUCCAUAGGUACAGGUACAGGGUCGUGGCUGAAGAAAUUCAUUAUUGAUCCUAAGGAGAAAUCGGGUUACAGUUUCGAAGUAUUUGAGACCUUGGAAAUCUCUACAGAUUACAAUUAGUUUAGUACUCUCUACUCUGAUCGAUAGCCCAGAUAUUGGGUUACACAAAAACAUUCAUUAAGACUAAGAAAAAUAAUAAACACGUGUGAUGAGUUCUAAUCGAGAUGAACAGCUUUGUUAAUUAUUUAUUUUUUGUCGAUCCCUAUUAGAAUUCAUCACACAAUCCUUGUUUGAAAUUUUUUAACAGGACGUAUGUUUUUAUAUGUUUCUGAAAAAAAAUUGGUAUUUAUCCAAUAAAUUUACAAAGAAUUCAUUUUUUAUUCUUUGUCCAGCCAAAAAAAAAAGAGAGAAAUAAUGAACGCAGCUGUCAAUCCCGAUUGAAUUCAUCACACAAUCCACGUGUUUGAAAUCUUUUACAAAAGACAUAUGUCAGUAAAGCUUCUGAAAAAUUAAAUUUUACAUUCCAAGAUGGAAUAGAAGCAAUUCGGAUCCUUCUUCUUCAGGGCUUCAAUAAAAGUGCAACAUUUGUUAAUAGUGCCAAACCCUUGAAACAACUUGGUUGAUUGGACAUAUGAUAAAACUGUAAACCUUAUAUUCAUGCUAAAGCCUAAAUGAUUAAAUCCUACACAGAUUCAAUGAUUUUUUGAGACCAGGUUUGACUGUUACUAUGAAACUGGAGAUCAAUUUCAAAGGCCAAUUCAUUGAAGGAGCUGCAGCAAAAAUUUUUGUCCAACUUUCUCUUUUAUAGAAUUAUUAAAGGCAAUUUGUAAUGUAACAUAAAUUCUUUAUUUUAAAGUGUAUUUAAUUGUUUUCAAUACUAAUAUUUGGAGUCUCUACAA